ACCACAAGGAACUUCACAGAGGACUGAAAAGUGCCCAGAUGAGUCAGUAUGAAAGAAUGAAAGAGAAUCUGCAUCUCCGUCCUGCUUUCUGUCCCGACCAUGUUGUAGCCAUGGGUCAGCUUCAGAGUAGGGGAAGAUGUAAUCUGGGCUGGUAGAUCUUGGAGAGCUGUGGCUUCCUGUGUUGAAGAUGACAAUCACCUUGAUCGUGGCUGGGCUGGCUGACCACACUGGUGG
rnacentral:lncRNA from 1 species